GACGAACGCUGGCGGCGUGCUUAACACAUGCAAGUCGAACGGGAACCUUUAUUUCGGUAAAGGUGAGAGUGGCAAACGGGUGAGUAACACGUAGGCAACCUGCCGACAGGAUGGGGACAACAUUCCGAAAGGAAUGCUAAUACCGAAUGGAGUCCGGAGAUGGCAUCAUCUCUGGAUAAAAGAUGGCCUCUGAAUAUGCUAUCGCCUGUCGAUGGGCCUGCGUCUGAUUAGCCAGUUGGCGGGGUAACGGCCCACCAAAGCGACGAUCAGUAGCCGGUCUGAGAGGAUGAACGGCCACAUUGGGACUGAGACACGGCCCAGACUCCUACGGGAGGCAGCAGUGGGGAAUCUUCCACAAUGGGCGAAAGCCUGAUGGAGCAACGCCGCGUGAGUGAAGAAGGUCUUCGGAUCGUAAAGCUCUGUCGCACGGGACGAAAACCGAGCUUGAGAAUAUUGAGUUUGGGGACG
rnacentral:rRNA from 1 species